AUAACACGAGGAGGAAUAGAGCGAACCCUGUACUUACAGUACGCUGUGUCCAGCCCAGAGCCGUUGCCUGUGGAGGAAGAGAAAGAGAGUGAGCACCCCGAGAACGAACUGUGUGAACCAGUACUUACCGUGAGCUGUAUUCAGCGAAGAGGAGGAAGAAGGAGGGCGCUACGGAUACCUAAGACUCAGGCCGGGGCCCGAGUCCCACGCCCCGGAUCCCCGUGGCCCCCUUGCUCCCUGACCUCUUCCCGGCCAUAGCCCAUCUGGAGGGCCGAGUCAGAGUUUAGUUUUAAUUGCCCUUUCCCUAUUCCCCAAGCUAUUUUUAAAUAUUUAAAUAAAGAUUGUUUUAUCACUUACUUGUUCUCGUGU
ensembl:lncRNA